UAGGGAAUCUUCGGCAAUGGACGAAAGUCUGACCGAGCAACGCCGCGUGAGUGAAGAAGGUUUUCGGAUCGUAAAACUCUUUUGUUAGAGAAGAACAAGGACGUUAGUAACUGAACGUCCCCUGACGGUAUCUAACCAGAAAGCCACGGCUAACUACGUGCCAGCAGCCGCGGUAAUACGUAGGUGGCAAGCGAUGUCCGGAUUUAUUGGGCGUAAAGCGAGCGCCGGCGGUUUCUUAAGUCUGAUGUGAAGGCCCCCGGCUCAACCGGGGAGGGUCAUUGGAAACUGGGAGAAUUGAGUGCAGAAGAGGAGAGUGGAAUUCCAUGUGUAGCGGUGAAAUGCGUAGUUAUAUGGAGGAACACCAGUGGCGAAGGCGGCUCUCUGGUCUGUAACUGACGCUGAGGCUCGAAAGCGUGGGGAGCCAACAGG
rnacentral:rRNA from 1 species